rnacentral:rRNA from 1 species
GACAGCAGUAGCCACGGUAAUACAGAGGGUGCAAGCGUUAAUCGGAAUUACUGGGCGUAAAGCGCGCGUAGGUGGUUUGUUAAGUUGGAUGUGAAAGCCCCGGGCUCAACCUGGGAACUGCAUCCAAAACUGGCAAGCUAGAGUACGGUAGAGGGUGGUGGAAUUUCCUGUGUAGCGGUGAAAUGCGUAGAUAUAGGAAGGAACACCAGUGGCGAAGGCGACCACCUGGACUGAUACUGACACUGAGGUGCGAAAGCGUGGGGAGCAAACAGGAUUAGAUACCCCAGUAGUCCCUGUCUCUUAUAA